UACGUAGGGUGCGAGCGUUGUCCGGAAUUAUUGGGCGUAAAGAGCUUGUAGGCGGUUUGUCGCGUCUGCCGCGAAAAUUCGAGGCUCAACCUCGAACUUGCGGUGGGUACGGGCAGACUAGAGUGUGGUAGGGGAGACUGGAAUUCCUGGUGUAGCGGUGAAAUGCGCAGAUAUCAGGAGGAACACCGAUGGCGAAGGCAGGUCUCUGGGCCACUACUGACGCUGAGAAGCGAAAGCAUGGGGAGCGAACAGG
rnacentral:rRNA from 1 species